GGAAUCUUGCGCAAUGGGCGAAAGCCUGACGCAGCAACGCCGCGUGCGGGAAGAAGGCUUUCGGGCUGUAAACCGCUUUCAGCAGGAACGAAAAUGACGGUACCUGCAGAAGAAGGAGCGGCCAACUAUGUGCCAGCAGCCGCGGUGAUACAUAGGCUUCAAGCGUUGUCCGGAUUUAUUGGGCGUGAAGAGUUCGUAGGCGGUCAAGUAAGUCGGGUGUGAAAAUUCUGGGCUCAACCCAGAGACGCCACCCGAUACUGCUUAACUUGAGUUCGAUAGGGGAGUGGGGAAUUCCUAGUGUAGCGGUGAAAUGCGCAGAUAUUAGGAGGAACACCGGUGGCGAAGGCGCCACUCUGGAUCGAUACUGACGCUGAGGAACGAAAGCAUGGGUAGCAAACAGGAUUAGAUACCCUGGUAGUCCAUGCGGUAAACGGUGGGCACUAGGUGUGGGAUUCUAUUAACGAAUUCCGCGCCGUCGCUAACGCAUUAAGUGCCCCGCCUGGGGAGUACGGUCGCAAGACUAAAACUCAAAGGAAUUGACGG
rnacentral:rRNA from 1 species